UGGAGUGUGGCUCAGUGGUGGAGUGCUUGCCUAGCAUGCGUGACAUUCUAGGUUCAAUUCCCAGCACUUCAG
rnacentral:tRNA from 1 species